rnacentral:rRNA from 1 species
AGUGAACGCUGGCGGUAGGCCUAACACAUGCAAGUCGAACGGCAGCACAGUAAGAGCUUGCUCUUACGGGUGGCGAGUGGCGGACGGGUGAGGAAUACAUCGGAAUCUACUUUUUCGUGGGGGAUAACGUAGGGAAACUUACGCUAAUACCGCAUACGACCUACGGGUGAAAGCAGGGGAUCUUCGGACCUUGCGCGAUUGAAUGAGCCGAUGUCGGAUUAGCUAGUUGGCGGGGUAAAGGCCCACCAAGGCGACGAUCCGUAGCUGGUCUGAGAGGAUGGUCAGCCACACUGGAACUGAGGCACGGUCCAGACUCCUAAGGGAGGCAGCAGUGGGGAAUAUUGGACCAUGGGCGCAAGCCUGAUCCAGCCAUACCGCGUGGGUGAAGAAGGCCUUCGGGUUGUAAAGCCCUUUUGUUGGGAAAGAAAAGCAGCAGGUUAAUACCCCGCUGUUCUGACGGUACCCAAAGAAUAAGCACCGGCUAACUUCGUG